rnacentral:rRNA from 1 species
AUGCCGGCGUCAUCCUCCUGCCAAAAUUCUGCCACAUCAAGCCGGCGCACCCUCGAAUCCCAUCUGCUCUAUCAAGCAGUGCUCACCUGGCGAGGAAGGUCAUUUCCAUACUAUGAAGAUCUUUUCGCUCUAUAUGAUGGACGCUAUGCUCAGGGAAGGAGUUGUCAUGGCAUGGAUUAUUAUGCGAACAAAGCAACGCAACUCUCACAGUUUCCCACAUCACAUUCACCACAAUUGCAAGGGCCAGAGGCGCAUUUGCACACACCUACACCAACCAUACAUGCUCCUGGUGAUUCAUCCAUGCAAUUUGAAAUUGAAGAGGAUAGUGAAAACACAAAUUGGUUUUCUAGCAACAAUACAUUCAGUCAAGUGGAGGCAAACCCGACUCAAGGAAAUGACUUGACAUUACAUGCUCCAUCGCAAGUUGAAACAAUACCAAUUUCCUCACAACGUGUUGGACAGACCUUGCAUGAAAUUCCACAAGUUGUACAUCGCAAUCCUCGACCAUCUAGCUCAGCUCCUGUGGUUACCAGCAGCAAGAGAGCGAAAAAGCAAAAGACGACUAGUAUUGAUGAUUUUCAUGAGAGAUACCUGAAACUCAGAAGGGAAGAAAUAGAUAGGUUUGCAGCCAUUGAGGAGAGGAAAUUAAAGGACCCCUUCAGCAUCAAAAAAUGCAUCAAAGCACUUGAAAAGUUGGAGGGUCUUUCGAUGGCAGAUAUGCUAAAAGCAGCGGACAUCUUCACCGCCAACAAGGAGAACAGGGAAGUAUUUCUAUCAUUUUCAAGUAACGAAUUACGAUUAGGUUGGUUGACUGGAAAAGUUCGGAAUACCUAA